ACAAAAAUCUUCCUUAAAAUAAUAUCUCAGUAUUAUAGAAUACAUAUACUACAAUUCAAUAUACCUAUGUAUAAAAUAGUAAAAUAGAUACAUACACAUAAUUACACACAAUAAUAUACACAUGAAAAUACACAAUUUAGUAUUAUAGUUAAGAAUGGCUAAAAGUAAAUAUAUAUAUAUAUAUAUAUAUAAUAUAAUAAUAAUAAUUGAAAAAUGAAAUAAACUAGUUUGGAGAUGAUUCUUCCAGUUUUUUGUGGAUGUGUUCGCGAACUUUGAGUUUAAAAGUAAAGCGAUUGCUGAUCAUCCUGAUUUCUUUGGGAAGCGAAUUCCAUAAUAUUAUGGACUGUACAAAGAAAGAAGAAUGUAAAAAAUCUGAGCGAUGGAUAGGACAUUGUAAGAGACGAUUAUGUGAAGAACGUAGAAUUUUGUCAUGGCUUGCGUUCAAGUAUUUAAAAUGCGAUUUUAAGUAAGAGGGUGAAGAGGCAGAGUCCAAAAGAGAAAACAAGGUAGUAAGCGCUCUCUCCUCUCUACGCUGACGGAUCGGUAACCAUUUCAGACGAGUUCGAUGCGCGGACACAUGGUCAUAUUUUCUAAGAUUGAAAACGAAUCGAAUGCAAUUAUUGAGAAGGCGGUCUAGUUUGUUGAGGAGAUCUGCAUUCAGGUCAUAGUAACACACAUCACCGUAGUCUACCAUAGGGAAAAUUAAAGUCUGCACAAGCAUGGCCUUUACAUUUGAUGGUAGCAUAUUUUUUAGCCGAUAGAGAGAUCGCAAGGUCCUGAUGACUUUUUGACUAAUGGAUGUUACUUGCGCUCUCCAACCAAGUGUAGUGUCAAUGUGUAAUCCAAGAUUUUUCACGUUUCGGCUAAAGGGGAUGAUUAUGUCAUUGAAAACAACAGGCGGCAGCUUAAAAUUACUGAUCUUACUCAUAUUUCGAUGGCUACCAACAAUUAACGCCUGGCAUUUGGUAGGAUUCACCGCCAGACCAAACCUAUCGGACCAAUUUUUGAUUGAUUUUAAAUCAUUGUUUAGUUUGGUAAUAGCAUCCGAUAUGUGAUCAACAUCGGUUUGUGCGUACAGUUGUAGAUCAUCGGCGUAAAGAUGAAAUGCACACCGUAGCUCAGGGGUGAGAAAAUUUAUAAAAAUUGAAAACAAGAGAGGAGAGAGGACACCGCCUUGUGGGACGCCAGAUUCAAGAUUACACCAGUUUGAUGAGAGUUCGUCAUUACGAACAGAUUGCUGACGUCCCUGAAGAUAGGAAGAGAACCAAUCCAACGCCCCUUUUGAGACGUUGAGAUGAGAGAGGAUGGAAAGAAGGAUAUCGUGACAAACGGUGUUAAACGCGUUUGAGAAAUCAACCAAAACUAGUAUAGUGAUUUUGGAUUCUUCCAAGCCCACCCUGAUAUCACCUGUCACUUUCAGAAGCGCGGAAAUGGUGCUGUGGCCUGGUCUAAACCCAGAUUGAAAAGGGCUAAUUAGGGAAUUAUUAAAUAUAAAUCGAGAAAGCUGCUUAUGGACACAGAUCUCGAGCACUUUGGAUAGGAAGGGUAAGAUUGAAAUUGGGCGAAAGUGAUUAGGAACAGAAGGGUCAGGAAUUUUAGGUAGGGCACGAACAUAAGCUCUGCGCCAUAGGAAAGGAAACUCUCCAGAGUCAAGAGAGAAGUUAAUAAUAUGAUAAAUUGCAGGUAGGAGACAGUCUAGGAUAGUUAUAAUCAUGCGGCGACAUAUGUUGUCAUAUCCCACCGCAUUAGAUUUAAUGGAAAGUAUCACUUUUCUUAUCUCAGAGGGGGCAACUGGAAAGAGCUGAAAGGGGACAACAUCUGGACGCCUUAGGCCAGACAAAUAAGCUAACGUUUGAUUUUUAGUUAAGGGAUCUAUCACGGAGGAUGUGGAGAAGUGUCGGUUGAGAUCAUCUAAUUGAAUAAUAUUUGGAAUGUCCAAACGUCGCGAUCUGCCGAUACCCAAAGUUCCGAGAAAUUUCCAAACAUCGGCAGGAGAAGAAGAAGCGAUAUUAUCCAGAAUGUGGCGGCGCUUGGCAUUGCGUAUCAUUUGAUUACACCUAUUCCUAGCAGACUUAAAAAGGACCCAAUUAUCUUCGAUGCGAUUCUUUUUGUAUUUUCGAAAAGCGCGAUCUCUGCGACGCAUGGCCAUCUUAACUCCUUCAGUCAUCCACGGUGCAGGCGUUCGUUUCAGUUUUACUUUUCUAAUUGGGGCAUGGAUAUCGUAUAAUUUGAUUACGAUAUUAUUGAAAAUUUCGACUUUGUGAUCAACUGAUGCAGCAUCUACUAGGGGAUCCCAGUUUAUCUCGGCUGCAUCAUUUCUGAGUUUUUCAAGAUCCAUGCGAGCAAAGCAGCGCCUGUGCAGGGUCUUGGGAAUAGGUUUUGGGGAUUUAAGGAUAUAGGUAAGAAAAAUUAGGUCAUGAUGAGAGAACCCUGGAGCAGAAUGUUGACCAUGAGAGGAAACUAAGGAAGGAUUCGAGGUAAGGAUUAAAUCGAGCCAGGUGUCUUCACCGACGGUAUUUAGGUGCGUAGCUUGUAGUUGCAUUAGAUGAAGAGUAGCUGAUUCAAUGAUUUGAAGAAGCUUCUGGGAUCUAGGGGAAUUACCAGAAAGGAUAUUUGUGUUGAAGUCACCCAUGAUGAUAAGAUGUGCGUACUCAGAGCCCAAAGAUUCUAAUACUGUUUCGAACUCAGUAAAGUAAUCAAUAUUAGGGGGACAAUAGGUGACACCAAUUACAGUUUUUACUCUCUUAACACAAACCUCAAGAAAAAGAAACUCCGCACUAGAGUUGGUAGAAGAAGAAGACAAUAUUUUAUAUGGAAACGUGCUGCGGAGAUAAAUGGCCACACCACCUCCUCUACCGACCGUUCUAUCAUUACGGAUAAGAAUAAAACCUGGGAGAGAGAAAGAGGUCGACAGGAGAGUAGGCUUGAGCCACGUUUCAGAUAUCAGGAUGACGUCGACGUUGGUAUUGUAAAAUGUAUGAUACAGUUCGCUAUAAUGACUGGCUACACUCUGUGCAUUGAUGUGGCAUACGUUGAACUGGCAGCCAGAUUUGUGGUCAAAAGUAUGUCGUAAGAAGUCACCCAGGGUGUCGGUGGCUGAACCAAAACUUUCCUCUCCAGAAGACGUACUGGAUUCGUUUGCAGAAAAAAAAGAAUCAUCAUCAGUAUCUGAUACACCUGAUACAAAAGACAUAAAUAAUAAAAUUAGAAGAAAAACAAAAAAAAAAAAUAAAAAAAAAUGUGUCUAUGUGUAAAACAAACUAAUCUAUAUAAAUAAACUAAUCUAUACAAAUAUAUACUAAUCUAUAUUAAUAUAUACUAAUCUAUAUUAAUAUAUACUAAUCUAUAUAAAACUAAUCUAUAAAAAAAAAAAAAAAAAAAAACUAUCUAAAAAUAUUAUAAAUAACAAUUUGGUAAGAUACAAUCUAUAUGCAUUAAAAACCAAAGAGAGAAAAAAAAAUUAUUAAUAACAAACAAAAAUGAAUAAAGCGUAUAUCUCAACACCACCUGCCAGCUAACACCAAUAUAAAAUAUAGAAGAUGUAAAUUAAAUUCAGUGAACAUCAAGAAACAUUUAGAAAGCAUUACAAAAUAUAAACAAAAUCCAAAACACAAAACAAUAGAACAACUACACUACGUCUGGUACGUUUAAGUAGUCUGUAACUGAUUUUAUACCAAAAUACGAAUGUUUUAAACUGUGUCAUUAACCACCAACUUCAUUGGACUGAAUGAAAACAGAACAAAUAACAAUAAAAUUAUUGGAAUAGAACUUAAUUUAUACAAACUUAAAACUACUUACCUAAAAGUAAUAUACAGAUACUACAGAAAAAAAAGAAAAACAAAAAAAAAAGAUGAAAUAAAUGACAUAAUAAAAAUACACACACACUUUUACUACAUCGAUUUCCUGCCUCAUCACUCUUUCCACUCACAUGAGAUGCCACUGAAGCUUUUGGAAACUUCAACAGCAAAGGGCUCAGCUCUUCCAUAGCUGUUACCUUAUGACGUGUUCCAUUAGUUGUCUUGAUAACUAUGAUUCCAUCCUGGGUCCAGCAGGAUCGCAUUCCGAAGUGAGCUCUUGCCUUGAUAAAUAUGGACUGCCUGGGCUUUGUCAAAAACUCCUUCAAUGAAAUUGAACAACCCUUUAGGUUAGACUUUGCUCUCCAAACAUUGGAUUUAAUGUUUUCAUUAGUGAACCUCACAAGAAUGGGCCUGUUAUGCUCCUGACUUCGCGCACCAAGUCUGUGGCAUUCUUUUAUGGAAGAAGAAGACACAUUUUUCAAGGCCAACUUAUUAUUUAGCACAUUUAAGAUGACUGAAGUGCAAUCCUCUCCGUCAACCUCGGUACAUCCCUGGAAUAGCAAAGUCUUGCGUCGCUGCCGAGUCUCCAGACUAUCAAUCUGCUUCAUGCACUCUCCGAUUUGUGUCCGGAGCAGCCCAAUUUCCUUUGCAGGUCCCGCAGACUGAAUCUGUGUUUCAAGUUCACCCAUCUUCCGUGUGAAGUUUUCUUCUAAGUUCUUUUGAAUAGUUAAUAUUUCAGCAAGUUGAGACAUGAUGGGCUUGAGUGUGAGGAACAAGAUGUCACUUAAAUGGUUGAAGGUGUACUGGCUGGCGCUUUGCAGCUUUAUUUAUGACACAUGAGCUGCUGCAAACGUUAGUACCAAAUCACAAAUACUUGUGUACAAACUGGAUGUUAAAAAAUAUUGAUAAAAGAUUAUGUUUCUAAUUUUCAAUAAAAUUUUAUGUUUAAAA